rnacentral:lncRNA from 1 species
AGACUGCAGUGCUGUAGCUCCCCAAAACUUUCAGGAAAUAAGAUCACUCUGUGUGAUUCAAAUUGACAAAAUAGUAGAGAAGGAACCAAAGUAGGAGAUGGGUACCUUAAAGCUGAGGUUAAACUCUGCUGGCUUAGCCAGAUCAGUCUGACAUGUUUUAUUUGGCCUGCAGAGAGUUAAAAAAUGUUUUUUGAAUAGAUGAUAUUUUAUGUCUACGUGAUUUCCCACCAAAAAUACAGACUUUUGGCUCCUUGAAAAAUCCCAGAUCUAGGCGUGGGCCACUACGCCCGGCCUGAGAGAUUUUAUACAGAAACUAUUGCAAUAGGGAAAAGAGACUUGCGUCCAGAACUGGGCUCAGUGGAAUACAGUAAAGACAGAUGGGGACUUACAGCCAAGGGUGGAGGGGAGUAGUUCAUGGUUGGAAAAUCACUAAGAGGAGACCUCGGGGAUAGAGAGGAUUCUUGCUAAGAGCAGGCCAGGGUGAUCAGAUAGCCAGGGUGGAGGACGAGGGAUUUGAUGAGAUCUCAAGGCAGGAGGGCUUCUCUCUAAACUGACCUAGCAGGAUUCUUGCUAAAACUGGGCUGUGCAGGCCUGGCAAGGACGGUGGCCAAGAUCGAAGCCUGAGAAGAGGUUUAGGAGGUCAAGGAGAUCAUCUUGUCACCACUCUUUUGCCUGACCCAGGGGAUAUUUGAAGCAUUGCCUCCUGCUUUAAAGAGAGGGUGGAUCUAAGACCUCACUGUUCAUUUGGACUGUUGAGCACUUGGAAUGGGCUGGUGCAAUUGAGGGA